rnacentral:rRNA from 1 species
ACUGAACGCUGGCGGCAGGCCUAACACAUGCAAGUCGAACGAGUGGCGGACGGGUGAGUAAUGUCUGGGAAACUGCCCGAUGGAGGGGGAUAACUACUGGAAACGGUAGCUAAUACCGCAUCCCAUCGGCUGUGCCCAGAUGGGAUUAGCUAGUAGGUGGGGUAACGGCUCACCUAGGCGACGAUCCCUAGCUGGUCUGAGAGGAUGACCAGCAACACUGGAACUGGGACACGGUCCAGACUCCUACGGGAGGCAGCAGUGGGGAAUAUUGCACAAUGGGCGCAAGCCUGAUACAGCCAUGCCGCGUGUAUGAAGAAGGCCGUCGGGUUGUAGAGUACUUUCAGCGGGGAGGCGUUACCCGCAGUAGAAGCACCGGCUAACUCCGUGCCAGCAGCCGCGGUAAUUC